AUACUCACCUGGCAAGGGAGAUACUGUGAUCAAGAAGGCAUGUCACCCAGGGCGAGGCUCAGACAUUGCACUCUGGCUGUGCUGACCCCUGCGAAUUUCCCAAAUGUGGAAAUCUCGAUUGCACAAUUUAUGGUAGUGGGGGACUGCGUUCGCGCUCUCCCCUG
rnacentral:snRNA from 1 species